CAUUAGAGAUUCGUAAAACUUGAGCACCACGAUGCAUUAAAAUGCCAAGGACUUUAUGAUAAUUUUCAGUAGUCUCCAUGUGCUCAAGACGCCAUACACCACCACCCAGAUUAGCACUAAAAAGUGGCUUUCCAAUAUUUCGGGUAUCCAACGUAUGCAUAAAAUCUCCAUACUCGCCAGUAGCAAUAUAAGGACCAAAGGGGGCUCGAGAGAGGAUGGAAACAACACCAGAAUGAUGAACUUGAAUGUCCCUCCAAAUA